UGGUUCAGGAGACAAACGUGUGCAAUCCUCAUUUCUAAAGUCAGCACAGCCUGGAAGGAUUCCUGGUCUCUCCCACCUUCUACCACUCUGCUGCCAGGGACAGCAAGGAUUGGUGCAGCUUCUGCGCAGUGCUUUGUGCCUGGAAUGCCGAAAAGGAGGAAAGAGAAGACAAGCGCCGGGGUCCUUUUUUCCAAGAAGUUACAAGAGCCCUGAAGAAAAAAAAAUCAAAACCAAAAAACGGAGUAUGUCCCACUCCAUGCAACAGUGAUGAAAAAAAAUGAGACGUUCCUGCUCAAAAACAAAAACAAACAAAAAUCUAAACCAAAACAAACCAAAAAAAAAAGCAAACAUUGGCUUGUAUAACUACAGAGACAUCGAGCUUUGUAAAGCAGCUUUGUAAGGCAACAUAAGCAAAUGAGCCUUCUUAUUUUUAUUAUUUCAAAAAUAUGGCAUAAUUAGCAGUAUAUUGCACUUGGUGAAAUCGCACCUUUCAUAUCAGGGAAAAACUUAACAUGGAAUGAGAAGUGAAGAAAGUGAUCAUAGGAGAAAAUCACCUCAGAUCAACCACUUCAGAAGAACCAGAUUCCACUUCUGUGGCCAGGACUUUUAUGUUAUGGCUGGUCCGAUUGUUUUACCCUGCGUUCUAUGCUACUAAACCUUGGAUCAUUCCUAAAGUACAAAUUCUGUUCUCCAACCACAAACAAGGCUAAAAGAUCGGAGGAAAUUCAGUGAAUGUACAGGAUUGGGAUUGUGCAUUUUUCAAAAGUACUGAGCUUUCGAAUGCAACUAUAUAAGAAAUAGGAUCCUUUUUUUUUAUGUUGCUAGCAUUUUAAGUUACAUGUUUAUUAAGUGGCAUUGCUCAUAUAGCUACAGAGUAUGCAUGGAAAUAUUCGCUGUCUGAAUAGUUUGGAGACUCAAAGAGAAAACUCAAGCUUCAGAGGUAUUAA